rnacentral:rRNA from 1 species
UUAAAUUGAAGAGUUUGAUCAUGGCUCAGAUUGAACGCUGGCGGCAGGCCUAACACAUGCAAGUCGAGCGGAAACGAGUUAUCAG